rnacentral:rRNA from 1 species
UACGGAGGGUGCAAGCGUUAUCCGGAUUCACUGGGUUUAAAGGGUGCGUAGGUGGGAAUGUAAGUCAGUGGUGAAAUCUCUGAGCUUAACUCAGAAACUGCCAUUGAUACUAUGUUUCUUGAAUUUUCUGGAGGUCAGCGGAAUAUGUCAUGUAGCGGUGAAAUGCUUAGAUAUGACAUAGAACACCAAUUGCGAAGGCAGCUGGCUACAGGGAUAUUGACACUGAGGCACGAAAGCGUGGGGAUCAAACAGG